AAAAGAAAAAGACGGAAUGGAUAAAAUGAUUAAAUUUUUUUUUACGUGGCGAACCGAUUGCCAUAGGAGUCGGCUGCUUAUCAUGGCGUGUAUACACCGGCAAGCAAAUGGCAAAGGCUAAGAGAGCGAUUUGGGAUACUCCAUGCUGAAUUACUGAGAGUCCUAUCACGUCACUGUCAAAUGCCGGACUUGUUUGACUUUGAAGAUACGAAGCGAAGGCAAAACCUGGUCUCUAGGUGGUCGGCUAAAUAUACCGGCCAAUUGUACUUAGUAGUUUUCUGUUCGUAUUUCGAACCACAAUGAUGAAACUAUUUGUUGACUACAGUUUAAUCAUAAUUCCAGCAAUUUUUGCAGUUUAACAAUUUCUGAUGCUUCUGCUGAUGACUGCUUUCGGCGAUACUAUGGUGAAAGUAGUUUUGUAUGUGUGUGUAAUGCCACCUACUGUGACAGUGCACCAAGUGUCGAUGGGCCUCUCCCAACCGGCCAAGCCAUAGUCAUUUCAUCCACACAA